GAUGAACGCUGGCGGCGUGCCUAAUACAUGCAAGUCGAGCGAACAGAUGAGGAGCUUGCUCCUCUGACGUUAGCGGCGGACGGGUGAGUAACACGUGGAUAACCCACCUAUAAGACUGGGAUAACUUCGGGAAACCGGAGCUAAUACCGGAUAAUAUAUUGAACCGCAUGGUUCAAUAGUGAAAGACGGUUUUGCUGUCACUUAUAGAUGGAUCCGCGCCGCAUUAGCUAGUUGGUAAGGUAACGGCUUACCAAGGCAACGAUGCGUAGCCGACCUGAGAGGGUGAUCGGCCACACUGGAACUGAGACACGGUCCAGACUCCUACGGGAGGCAGCAGUAGGGAAUCUUCCGCAAUGGGCGAAAGCCUGACGGAGCAACGCCGCGUGAGUGAUGAAGGUCUUCGGAUCGUAAAACUCUGUUAUUAGGGAAGAACAAAUGUGUAAGUAACUAUGCACGUCUUGACGGUACCUAAUCAGAAAGCCACGGCUAACUACGU
rnacentral:rRNA from 1 species